CUGUUUUUAAAGUGUGUCAUGUGCAAGAAAGACCGAGAUUUUCAACUGCACCUUACAGUCUGUAACAGUUGUCUCAGAAACCUCGAGUUUAUCUAAUUUUACCACUACUAAUUUCAGCUUUAACACGUGAAUGUCGUGGUAUUCAUUCCAGUCGUAAGGCAGUCAUUUGUAAAGAGUCCUCUCGGAGCAAGAGUGAUUUAUUGCGAUUUCUAGCGUGACUGGAUUCCGCUGACAAGUCACAACAACUCAUGACCGAGUAAAACGAUUAGAGAGUUAUGCAUUGUUGCAUCAUGCUCCGCCUGUACAUUCAACUAUAUACAACGCGUGGCCACACAUCCAUGACUUGUUACACGAGAAAGGCUACAUCAACUUUUCCAUGAAUCUGGAGUCUGAAGAUUCGGUGAGUCAGUCUCUGGAGAAAUACCCAAAGCAGAUGUCCAGCUGCAGCAGACCGCAGUCCAAACAGUGACUGACUGUCUGGAAACCUGCUGGACUUCCCACAUCUGCUUGACCACAGCAGACCCAUGAAUACGCACACACACAAACAAACGGCUACAGUUAAACGCGAUGGAGUGCGUCCAUUUGACCUGGCGUGGCUACUAACUGCUGUGUUUUACACCACAGGGAGAAAACACCAGCGUGUGAGUCACAGAGAUCAAAGUAAUUUCUAGCCCCUUUUAAACACCAUCUCCAGGCCUCAAUUAUUAAUGUACAUUUAAAUCAAGUGCAUGUGUUUACAUGUCUGUGCAUGUGUGCAUGUGUGUGCCA